GCCCGAACGGGAAACCUGGAUUAAUACCGGAUGAGACGGGACCCGCGAUGGCGGGAUCCGGGAAAGGCGCUGCGGCGCCGGCCGGGGGAUGAGUCUGCGUCCCAUUAGCUAGACGGCGGGGUAACGGCCCACCGUGGCGACGAUGGGUAGCCGGCCUGAGAGGGUGGACGGCCACAUUGGAACUGAGACACGGUCCAGACUCCUACGGGAGGCAGCAGCUAAGAAUCUUCCGCAAUGGGCGAAAGCCUGACGGAAGCGACGCCGCGUGAACGAAGAAGGCCGUGAGGUUGUAAAGUUCUUUUCGGGAGGGGGAACAACCGUGGCAGGGAAUGGCCGCGGGAUGACGUGAAUCCCGGAAUAAGCCCCGGCUAACUACGUGCCAGCCGCCGC
rnacentral:rRNA from 1 species